UAUGGGGAGGAGGAGGGAAGGGGCUGAGCAGGGCAAGAGCAAAAGUCCACGGCCUGGCAAGGACAGCCUAGACGCAGAGGAAGGAAGGGACAUGGAGGGGCUGAGCCCUGUCACACGUGAUGCCCUGCAUGCCGGGCUGGACGUGGAGAGGCUGAGCACACAGUCUGGAGCUGAUGCUGGGAAGCCCCGAUAGAUGGCUUAGAAUGAGCUACACCCAGGACCUGCCCCAGGUCUCCGUGGUCUUCAUCUUUGUCAACGAGGCGCUGUCGGUCAUCCUGCGCUCCGUGCACAGCGUGGUCAACCACACACCCUCCCAGCUCCUCAAGGAGGUCAUCCUGGUGGACGACAACAGUGACAACGUGGAGCUCAAGUUCAAUCUGGACCAGUACGUCAACAAGCGGUACCCAGGCCUCGUGAAGAUUGUCCGCAACAGCCGGCGGGAAGGACUGAUCCGCGCCCGGCUGCAGGGCUGGAAGGCGGCCACCGCCCCAGUCGUCGGCUUCUUCGAUGCCCACGUCGAGUUCAACACGGGCUGGGCCGAGCCCGCACUGUCACGGAUCCGAGAGGACCG
rnacentral:sRNA from 1 species